rnacentral:rRNA from 1 species
GAAACAUCUAAGUACCCCGAGGAAAAGAAAUCAACCGAGAUUCCCCCAGUAGCGGCGAGCGAACGGGGAGCAGCCCAGAGCCUGAAUCAGUGUGUGUGUUAGUGGAAGAGUCUGGAAAGGCGCGCGAUACAGGGUGACAGCCCCGUACACAAAAAUGCACAUGCUGUGAGCUCGAUGAGUAGGGCGGGACACGUGGUAUCCUGUCUGAAUAUGGGGGGACCAUCCUCCAAGGCUAAAUACUCCUGACUGACCGAUAGUGAACCAGUACCGUGAGGGAAAGGCGAAAAGAACCCCGGCGAGGGGAGUGAAAAAGAACCUGAAACCGUGUACGUACAAGCAGUGGGAGCACGCUUAGGCGUGUGACUGCGU